rnacentral:rRNA from 1 species
GAUGAACGCUGGCGGCGUGCCUAAUACAUGCAAGUCGAGCGAACGGACGAGAAGCUUGCUUCUCUGAUGUUAGCGGCGGACGGGUGAGUAACACGUGGGUAACCUACCUAUAAGACUGGGAUAACUUAGGGAAACCGGAGCUAAUACCGGAUAAUCUUUUGAAACGCAUGGUUCAAAAGUGAAAGACGGUCUUGCUUUCACUUAUAGAUGGAUCCGCGCUGCAUUAGCUAGUUGGUAAGGUAACGGCUUACCAAGGCAACGAUGCAUAGCCGACCUGAGAGGGUGAUCGGCCACACUGGAACUGAGACACGGUCCAGACUCCUACGGGAGGCAGCAGUAGGGAAUCUUCCGCAAUGGGCGAAAGCCUGACGGAGCAACGCCGCGUGAGUGAUGAAGGUCUUCGGAUCGUAAAACUCUGUUAUUAGGGAAGAACAUAUGUGUAAGUAACUGUGCACAUCUUGACGGUACCUAAUCAGAAAGCCACGGCUAACUACGUG